rnacentral:rRNA from 1 species
AUGACACACACCUCCUCACCUCGUCUCUUCUCCUUCCAAGAUCCACCACGCCACGGUCGCCAUGGGCCUGGACGGCGCGCCGGCCUGCUCCAUCCCCACUCAAAAUCUCGAGCGUAUGUGCGUGGGGAGACGGCGGCCAGAAUGACCGGAUUCGCGCCGUCGUCAAGGGCACCUGGCGCCAUGGAGUGGAGCUGCCUGGGACGCCGCUCCUUCGUCAAGGACAAGCGCAGCUGCCGGCGCCAUCCAGGACUCCACUCAGGGAGGAGGACGGUGCCGGCGGUGAGCUGGAGGAGGAGGUGUUCGACGUCGUGGCGGAUCGCGCACUGGCGCUCCCCCAGGCCCACUGGUCUGUCCAGCGAUCGCGCGGCGCGGGGUGUUGGGGUGGAUCGCCGGUGGAUUCGAUUCGGGCCUCCGGGCAUGGAGCGUCGCGGGUUGCUCAAGGCGGUUCUACUGGCGUCGUGCUUGCUCUCCGGGAGAGGAGUUGUCUGUGCAAGGGUAGGACAAGGUGUACAAGGACGUGAUCGAGCCGCUGGAGAGCGUCAGCAUCAACAUGAUCCCCACCACCAAGACAUCCGUGACCUCAGCCCGCCCGACCCCGCCACCCGCGAGUGGACCUCAAGACUACUAUGUACCACGCCGAUGACAUCCUUGACGACUUCCGCUAUGAGGUGCUGCGCCGCCGUGCAACCCAGAUCCACCGCCGUUGCUGCACUGCUCGCAAGCUAUGAAGAAGUAAAAGCAAAGGGGUCGGAGAAUUUCGAUAGGGAGCUUGAGGACAUGAUAGACAGGCUCAUCGUGGAGUGCGAGCGGAAAAUCCAGGGGGUGCUCAAAUGCCUCACCGACGAGGAUGCCAAGGCUGCUAUCGCAAUAUCUGUCUCCGAGGUCACUCAGUCUGAAGAGGUUGCGCAGUUGUCAAAAGAAAUCAAGGAGAAAAUGAAAGAAGCUGAUAUCUUUGCUAUAUUAAGUCUUGACCACAAUUUUGAACACUCUUCACCAGACACAGCAUGA